rnacentral:lncRNA from 1 species
CUCAAAGAAGAUGACGAGUCAAGCGAGUCUGAGAAAGAGGAGACAACUAAGAAGAUUGAUGAGAUCCUGAAAGACGCGCCCUUUAAAACUAUGGAGGAAUUUAACAUUUUUGAUUCGCAACUGGCUGCUGAUGGAGAACUGACUAAAGAAGUGAUCAUUCGUUGUCAAAAGGCAAUAAAGAGUGCGGGGAAACUUGCCUCUGCUGCUCGCACUGUUGUGCGAAUUAUCCUGACGACUGAUCUCCAGAGAGAAUUUUCCUGGAAAGGACAGGCCGUUGUCCCCGGCAGCAAUGAAGCCAAAGUUGCAUUUUGCAACACGACCUUCUGCCAAUGCGUUCUUUACAAAACUCUUAAAGCAUCCAAAAAUUGGCCGAAAAAGGACCUGGAGAAAACGGUCAAGGAAACCCUCAGCUCAAUGUUCACAAUGGCUAAUACCAAAAAAGGAAGUAAGAAGGCAGCAGGGAACAUCCCUCAGAAGUAGAGCCACCAGUUAUGUUCUUUUUCCUACUUUUCCAAUUUUUUCAUAUUUUCGGGUGCAUCUAUUCUAGUUCAUUACCUAUAUUAUUUUUUGUUAUCGAAGUAACCCAUUUCUAUGUGGACAAACGUUUUUUCUCAAAUGCUUGCUGAAACUGUGACAGCUGAAUAACCUUGUGCAAGCUAAUUUAUUAAUUUUUAUAGCUCUUUAACCACAGUAUUGGUAGCUCACUUUUUUACUAUUAGCAUCUACCUUUUCUCCAUAUCUUUUCGUAUCAACUUUACAAGCCUUUAGCUUUUAGCCCAUAUCUUUUCUUAUUAACUCUAUACAGGCCUUCCAGGCCGUUGUGCUCUCUAGGUUCCACAUCGUGAAAUUCAUUCAAUCAGUGAAAGGGUACUGAAAAAAGCAAAAUAAAAAUAAACUCUAGCGAGCUGCGAGUUGAUUUUUAUCAAUACAGUUUUUUUUUGUCAGCAAAUGUCUACAAAGCAGAAAAGCCAUAUUCGGGCAGAUUCAGACCCACAGAAUACAGACCUCGAAGGUUAUUCAGCGUAUUUUUUCAAUGUGUGAUGAUACGAAAAUCCCAGCGUUCAUUGAAAUUUCUUCCAGCCGCUAUUCUUAAAAUUUGAAAUUGCAAGAGAAAACUUCAUCCAGUGAAGUUAAAGUUAUUUGCUAGAUGAAUGUUAGAGACGAUUCCAUUUUCUCCCACCGGGCCAUUCGAUCAUUACGUAUGACCACCGGUUUUUCACCUUUUUUCCCCCAAUUAGAAGGCUCAUUUCGACCAGUCUGUUGGUAGCUUUACUCAAAUUUUUAAGAUUUUAUGAAAAAAUAGAGGAACUACAUUCAGAGCUCCAUCAAAAAAGAAAGAGAAAAAAUUGACACUUAAUUCAUAACGCUUAAUUUAAUCAGAGCGUUAAGAGCAAUUAAAAUUUUAGCGGUGUCCUCUACAGUGGCUAGAUGAAACAAUAGAAGGUGAAUCACGCAAUAUUCCCUUAAUUCAUGAACUGUUUAAAUAUAAAUUUAACACCUGUCACACUUAAAUUUUUGCUCUGAUUGAUCUUUUUUUUGGGGGGGGGGGGUGAGGUAUGUUUGUAUCUUUGCUUUUUCCAUUUUUCAACGGUUUCUUUUGCAUAGGAUUACGUAUUUUUUUUUACAAUUCUCACGUGUAACGCUCAUUAUCAUGGAAUUAGCCUGAUAAACGUAAUUAGUUUGGUCAAUGUGUUUCCUAGGGCGUGGGAAACGUGCUAAAUAAAAAAACAAAACAAAAAUUAGGAGAAACGAUUAAAUAAUUGAUGUUGGCAUAGUCAACAUGCUCUAUUUAAAGACUUCUAGUCUUAGGUUUUCCGGUAAUAAUUUCUUUUAAAAAAAUACACAUUAAAAUGUGGGUUAAAUAUUAGGAAACUGUAAACUUUGAAGCUAGUUCACACGCCACGCAACGACGGUUUAACUACGUUAUCCACGGUUGCUAUGACGUGACAUUUAGAUUAACUUGUCAAAUUUGUUAUUAUAAUAAGUUUCUUAAACCUUCUCCUAAUUUUGGUAAAGUUUUUUUCCACCAGUUAUGUUCUUUUUCCUACUUUUCCGAUUUUUUCAUAUAUUCUAGUUCAUUUAUUCUAGUUCAUUACCUAUAUUAUUUUUUGUUAUCGAAGUAACCCAUUUCUAUGUGGACAAACGUUUUUUCUCAAAUGCUUGCUGAAACUGUGACAGCUGAAACACCUUGUGCAAGCUAAUUUAUUAAUUUUUAUAGCUCUUUAACCACAGUAUUGGUAGCUCACUUCUUUACUAUUAGCAUCUACCUUUUGGCGAAAACUGCCAAAAAAAGAGCAAUACGAUCGCAGUCACAAGCCUAGACAGGACAAUCCCUGAAACUAUUAAAAAUGUGUUAUUUUUCUAUUUUUAUGUCUUUAAAUGUUUAAAUUGGGCUCUUCGCCUAUUACCACCUUCCCUUCUAUCAAUACCUCUUCCUGGUAUUGCUAUUAGUUUUCUUUUUCAUUUUUCAAAUGUAAAUUUAUUACAUAAGUAAUGAAACAACAGGUACUGUGAUAUUGUGUAACUGUAAGUGUUCUUAAUUAGUUGUU